AUCUAACACCGGUGUUUCGCAUUAGUAAUUUGGCUGUUUACUUGUUUCGACGUCUGUGCCAACAGUAACAGAGAAGAAAAGUUUUGUGAUUUGGUUGAGUGUUCUAAGAUCCCGAAACAGAUGCUAAAACAUGUUUAACAGCUAUGAAAUUUGACAACCUAACUUCGGAACAAUUCGAUAACUACUGGAAAGCUUGCACACAAUAUCGUCUAAAUGACAUUAAAAUGGCUCAAAAUUCUGCUGAAAUCCUUAAAACAUGGAAUUUUUAUUCCCAACCUUCUGGAUAUCGAUUGAUUGAUAUGGACUUUGGAGUGGCAUUCGGAAACAGUAAUGGACUUAUCGAAGGAUGGAAUAAAUAUUUCGAAAGAAUUGUCUCUGAGUGU
rnacentral:lncRNA from 1 species